rnacentral:rRNA from 1 species
UACAGAGGUCCCAAGCGUUGUUCGGAUUCACUGGGCGUAAAGGGUGCGUAGGCGGUCGGGUAAGUCUGAUGUGAAAUUUCACAGCUUAACUGUGAAACUGCAUUGGAUACUAUUCGGCUAGAGAGUUGGAGGGGGGACUGGAAUUCCUGGUGUAGCGGUGGAAUGCGCAGAUAUCAGGAGGAACACCGGUGGCUAAGGCGGGUCUCUGGGCAGUAACUGACGCUGAGGAGCGAAAGCGUGGGGAGCGAACAGG